CAAUUCGUGAUAUUGACUCUGCAGUUCCUGCAAAAGAUUCUCUUUCUCCUGCAGUCGUUGUUCUGUGAGGGAAUGAAGCAGAUAUCAGAGGACAUUUAGAUGAAGGCUCUCCUGGUUGAUCUGACAUUGUUUUUCCAGCUGCUGCUUCAGGUCCUCCAGUUGCUUCUCCAUGGCUGCAGAGAGAAAAAUGAAAUAUCCUGUAAAUGUCACAAUCGGACAAUGCUGACUUUUUAUAUUGCAACAUUGCCAUUUCAAUAACAUCCUCAAGACAUAAAUUAUAUGAUGAAAUAA